GGCUCGGUAGCUUAGUUGGUAAAGCAUCUGUCUAGCAAACUAGAGUCCUGGGUUCGAAUCCCAGCUGAGCAC
rnacentral:tRNA from 1 species